GAAUGUGAGGGCGAUCUGGCUGCGAUAUCUGUCAUCCCAUUGAUCGCCAGGGUUGAUUUGGCUGAAUUGGCUGGCUAGGUGGGUGGCCCCUUCCUCCCUCACCGCUCCAUGUGCAUGAAGCUGCGUGCUUGGUCGAAGAGGACAACCUUCCCCGAUAGAGACAUACCGUUCAUCGGUCAAGGGUAUAUGGUAGGUGUGCUCCCCUCCUAGAACCUCCAAACAAGCUCAACUGCAUCCAGAGCUGGACAGCAAAGCUGGUGAAGAUUCUAGACAAAAAGUCUUAUGAGA
rnacentral:snRNA from 1 species